rnacentral:rRNA from 1 species
AUUGAACGCUGGCGGCAGGCCUAACCCAUGCAAGUCGAACGAGUGGCGGACGGGUGAGUAAUGUCUGGGAAACUGCCCGCUGGAGGGGGAUAACUACUGGAAACGGUAGCUAAUACCGCAUACCAUCGGAUGUGCCCAGAUGGGAUUAGCUAGUAGGUGGGGUAACGGCUCACCUAGGCGACGAUCCCUAGCUGGUAUGAGAGGAUGACCAUGCACACUGGAACUGAGAAACGGUUCAGACUCCUACGGGAGGCAGCAGUGGGGAAUAUUGCACAAUGGGCGCAAGCCUGAUGCAGCCAUGCCGCGUGUAAGAAGAAGGCCUUCGGGUUGGAAAGUACUUUCAGCGAGGAGGUGUUACUCGCAGAAGAAGCACCGGCUAACUCCGUGCCAGCAGCCGCGGUAAUAC